UUGAUCCUGGCUCAGAACGAACGCUGGCGGCAGGCUUAACACAUGCAAGUCGAGCGCCCCGCAAGGGGAGCGGCAGACGGGUGAGUAACGCGUGGGAACGUACCCUUUUCUACGGAAUAACCCAGGGAAACUUGGACUAAUACCGUAUGUGCCCUUCGGGGGAAAGAUUUAUCGGAAAAGGAUCGGCCCGCGUUGGAUUAGCUAGUUGGUGGGGUAAAGGCCUACCAAGGCGACGAUCCAUAGCUGGUCUGAGAGGAUGAUCAGCCACAUUGGGACUGAGACACGGCCCAAACUCCUACGGGAGGCAGCAGUGGGGAAUAUUGGACAAUGGGCGCAAGCCUGAUCCAGCCAUGCCGCGUGAGUGAUGAAGGCCCUAGGGUUGUAAAGCUCUUUCACCGGUGAAGAUAAUGACGGUAACCGGAGAAGAAGCCCCGG
rnacentral:rRNA from 1 species